rnacentral:snRNA from 1 species
AGGUUUGCCAGGGGGGGUCAUGACCCACAGGUUGAGAACCCCUGCUCGAGAUGCCUGUGCCCUGCAAUUUCCCCAAAUGUGGAAAACUUGACCAUAUAAUUUGUGAUAGUGGGAGACUGCACUCAUGCUCUCCUC